rnacentral:rRNA from 1 species
GACGAACGCUGGCGGCGUGCCUAAUACAUGCAAGUUGAGCGCUGAAGGUUGGUACUUGUGCCAACUGGAUGAGCAGCGAACGGGUGAGUAACGCGUGGGGAAUCUGCCUUUGAGCGGGGGACAACAUUUGGAAACGAAUGCUAAUACCGCAUAAAAACUUUAAACACAAGUUUUAAGUUUGAAAGAUGCAAUUGCAUCACUCAAAGAUGAUCCCGCGUUGUAUUAGCUAGUUGGUGAGGUAAAGGCUCACCAAGGCGAUGAUACAUAGCCGACCUGAGAGGGUGAUCGGCCACAUUGGGACUGAGACACGGCCCAAACUCCUACGGGAGGCAGCAGUAGGGAAUCUUCGGCAAUGGACGAAAGUCUGAACGCGCAACGCCGCGGGAGUGAAGAAGGUUCUCGGAUCGUAAAACUCUGUUGGUAGAGAAGAAAGUUGGUGAGAGUGGAAAGCUCAUCAAGUGACGGUAACUACCCAGAAAGGGACGGCUAACUACGUG